rnacentral:rRNA from 1 species
UACGUAGGGUGCGAGCGUUGUCCGGAAUUAUUGGGCGUAAAGAGCUCGUAGGCGGUUUGUUGCGUCGGCUGUGAAAACCUGAGGCUCAACCUCAGGCCUGCAGUCGAUACGAGCAGACUAGAGUGUUGCAGGGGAGACUGGAAUUCCUGGUGUAGCGGUGAAAUGCGCAGAUAUCAGGAGGAACACCGGUGGCGAAGGCGGGUCUCUGGGCAACAACUGACGCUGAGGAGCGAAAGCGUGGGGAGCGAACAGG